rnacentral:rRNA from 1 species
AUUGAACGCUGGCGGCAUGCUUUACACAUGCAAGUCGAACGGUAACAGGGAGCUUGCUCCGCUGACGAGUGGCGAACGGGUGAGUAAUGCGUCGGAACGUGCCGAGUAGUGGGGGAUAACGCAUCGAAAGGUGUGCUAAUACCGCAUACGUACUGAGGUAGAAAGUGGGGGACCUUCGGGCCUCACGCUAUUCGAGCGGCCGAAGUCUGAUUAGCUAGUUGGUGAGGUAAAGGCUCACCAAGGCGACGGUCAGUAGCGGGUGUGAGAGGAUGAGCCGCUACACCGGAACUGAGACGCGGCCCAGACUCCUACGGGAGGCAGCAGUGGGGAAUUUUGGACAGUGGGAGCAAGCCUGAUCCGGCCAUGCCGCGUGGCUGAAGAAGGCCUUCGGGUUGUGAAGGACUUUUGUCCGGGAGCAAAGGCUGGUGGCUAACAUCCACCGGAGCUGAGAGUACCGGAAGAAUAAGGAUCGGCUAACUUCGUGCCAGCAGCCGCGGUAACAC